rnacentral:rRNA from 1 species
CAGUCGCCGCGGUAAAACGUAGGGCGCAAGCGUUGUCCGGAAUUAUUGGGCGUAAAGAGCUCGUAGGCGGUCUGUCGCGUCUGGUGUGAAAUCCCGAGGCUCAACCUCGGGCUUGCAUCGGGUACGGGCAGACUAGAGUGCGGUAGGGGAGACUGGAAUUCCUGGUGUAGCGGUGGAAUGCGCAGAUAUCAGGAGGAACACCGAUGGCGAAGGCAGGUCUCUGGGCCGCAACUGACGCUGAGGAGCGAAAGCAUGGGGAGCGAACAGGAUUAGAUACCCCGGUAGUCCCUGUCUCUUAUAC